GGGGAGAAGUUUCUGUGAAAAUACUGUAAUAGGUUACCUUUAUGUGGAUGACUCUUCGCGCUUGCCUAGACUGAGUCACUCUGUGAACUGCCUCGCGGUCCAUCUGUCUGCCAACUCCUGGCUAAACUUGAACAUCCUGUGACUGAAAUGAAUGCAUCAAAGGCUAAAGCCCUGCAAGAGCCUGCAAAACACCGGUAGAGUCAAUCUUUGCCUCUCACUCUGCUUCCACGGACUUCCUCAAUCCAUCCCUUCCCAUGUACCGGUGACAUCCCCCUGCAGCCCACUCAGCCCUGGCAUUGCACCACCACCGUUCACAGAAUGCAGAGGGCCAAAACAGCACUUUCAAUGCUGACCUUACUGACAACACCUGCCCUCAUCGCUACAACAGCGGCACCGUGUCUGCUGCUCCCUUGGUGAUCUCUACACCGCCCGUACCACCCCCAGGUCAGAGAUGCUGCAGAAUCACCUGCUUCCCACACUGCAGCGAGCCACCCUCCAUGGACCGGUUAGUGCUCACCUUCAGGUGCAAUUUAGCCAGGGCCAAGUCUCUGUGGAAAGAGGCUUGCAAUAUUUCAUACAAGAGAUAUUACAGGGGGGGAAAAAAAGUACAGUUUCAGAUGUGGAUCUGUUUUCAAUUUUUCAUUGCUUUGGAUAGAAAAUUUUGCUGCCACCUAUAUAAACAAUUUUCAAAUACUGAAGGACACAAUUGCUGUAAACAAAUGUGGCGACGGAAACCACUCUGACACCAUCUCUUACAGAAGCAAUCCUGUAUUGCUGGAUUCUACAUUUCCACUGUCUGCCUUUCAAUCUGCUUGCAGUUGUAGUGGAAGAAAAAAAGAAAAAAAAAAAAGAAGUAUUACUUUCCCAGCUUUCCUCCCCAAAUCAGGAACACUCUCCUAUCUCUUAGGUGAUAAUAUAAACCUAAGUAAUUUUUCCUGCCCUCACUAAAACCAUUUUAAAACCAGUAGUCAGGAACUAAACAAAUGUCCCAGCUAAUGUAAUGUGUAUUACUCAGUGAUGAUAAACACUAUACACCCACCUAGACUUUUCACUUGAUGUGGUUGGAAACUGCUAUGUAAGGUGGAAAAAGUAAGGUAGGCUGCUUUUAUUUUUGGCAUUUGUUUAAGAGUUUAGGCUUACUGCAGCAGUAUAUUUACCCUGGCUCCUCAUGCUGCUUGCAGCUGACUGUGUAAAGGCAUUUUGUGGCUAUUUUUUGGGGGAAGAAAGAGGUAUCACCCCCCUGUGUCUCCUACUCCACCGUGCUGCCAGGCUGAAAGAAGGGAGCACUGCUGGGAGUGCUUCUCUUCCUUGCCUGCUAGAGCAGAGCUCAGCAAGGUAAAGCUCUGUCUAGCCAACAAAGCUCUUUACAACGAAUAUCCUUAUUAAACACAGCCUUAUCAGAGACCAGUUUCUGCAGGCUGAAGCAGUCAGGAAUUAACUGUGUCAAUAUUUAAAAUUUCAAGCCAGGAUUAGUACCCAGACCCAAGGGGACGCAAGCAGGCGUGCAAGCCACAACACACGGAACCGACUGUGCUCUAGCCGUGCCAGGGGGCUGCCCGAGCAGCCGGGGCUCAGGCUCUGUACCUGCCACCUUGGUGGUACCUGGCCCCCCAAAGGGCUCACUCCCCUGGGCUGCUGCGGCAGGAGGAGGGGGAUGCUGAAUCUUGCCCCUCUUGUAGGACGCAGGGAAAAAGCCAUGCCGAGACUUGCAUAAGGGAUCGGGCUGGGGAAAGACCCCAGUUCCAGUGACAUCAGCUGUGUGCAGAGGGCAGAGAAAGCUUCCUGGAGGGGGGCAGACAGCACCCCGCAAGCAUAGCCCAGGACUGUUGGGAUGGGAGGCUCACCAGCCAAAAGGGUGCCUCUGGCCAGCAAGGUGCACAGCCGGGAUAUAAACUCAUUCGGUAUGCUCCUUUGGCAGCCUCUGGCUGUAAUCCCCACCCACAGGAUCAGGCUAUGUCUCCUGCCUUAUCCACAAGACGAAGCCCGUCUAGUCUAUCCCCGACACAGCCCUCGGGGCAGGGCUGGCAGGACCAACGCUGCCUGUCUUCCCUCCAGGGUGAGCCUCCACUGGCACAGCACGGCUGCCCAGCACAGAGAAGGUGUGAGCUUCACCCCACCACCCCGUGAGUCAAGGUCUUAAUGGAGACCUUGCUCCUCCUGCUACAUAUUAAAAGCUGGCAAUGCUAUUGAUGGAGACUCCAUGAAACACGUUCUUAAUACCACGCUAAUGAGGCAGCAGCAAGGCUAUUGCAUCCUGUCAUUAACGAUCCUGGUGAAGAGCCUUCACACUGCCCUUUCCUACAGAAAGAAAUCUCCACCAAAAAAAAAUCAUCCAUGUUGCUGUACUGCUUCUGUCAAACUACUAAGUUUGGCAUGAAGUCCUCAGGUGUAGGUGCUGGGCUUUCGCCAGAAAAAGUCAGCCUGGGUAAGUGGUGAAAAUAAACAGUAUGUUACAGGAAACACUGCAGUCUGCAUUCCCCCCCCCAGAUGAUCUGUUGUCCCAACCCGAUACGUUGCUCCAUACAUUUAGUGCAAGAGGAUGUUUGCGGUGACUGGCACUGCAAAAUAAUAACUCACAUGUCAUGACAUUAAUCUUAAUACUCAGGAUUGUAAUAAGGGAUAUUCCAAGCCUGUAAUACACUCUGUAGUAUUGCAUUGCCCUCUCAAGUGAAAAAUGGAAGCACCUUUCCUGGGACUCUCAGUAUUGCUGCUAGCUCCUUUCCACUGAAGACAUAUAGAAUUUGUGAAAAAAAUGUAUAUGAAUAGGUAGAAUGACAUGAAAAUCAGAGGUUAUGCCCACCAGCCUUUUAUAUUUUUCUCCUGGUGUUGUGAAAGCCCAAAAAAGAACUGGAAAAAAAGGUUAGAAAAGUUGUAGGAAUAAAGGAAAAGAGUGCCAGUUUUGAUCCUACCUUCAUUUGUACUAUAUUGAGCCUCUUAGCUGAAUUAUAGCUUUGGUUCAAAAACCAGAACAUGUAUUAUUUGUUGUAUAAUAAUCUACAUAUCAAAAUCAUCCAUGCUAAUGAUUGCCUAAGAUUUCACUGCAAGUUCCCUUGUAUUUCUUACAGCCCAUAGUAUCUGUGCACCUCCCAGUAAAGCUGAAGUAAAUAUAUUUCAGUACAUGCCCGAACUACAACUUUUAAACCCUCCCACUGAGCUUACUUUACAACAGGUACUAAAUGGUUAAGCUCAUUACUGAGUCCAGUUAUAAACAUGGCGAAAAUACUUCUGUCACUUUUGGCAUAAAGUGCAAAAAGUUGCCUUUCUGCUUGACUAAAAAUGUGAAAAACAAACAAUGCACAUAGCAUACAUUGUUUAAGAAGUGAGUGCAAACAAGCUUACAAGCAGAUGAACUUUGCAGGUGUCCUGCAGGAGCAAAGCAGGCAGAACCUAGUGUUCCCACCCCACCACCCUGGGCAGCGGGUGCAGAAACGGCCGUGCAGCGCUGAUUGGGAUCCUGACCAUUAACCUCCGUGUCAACGCUGGGAAAUCCAAACUUGUGCCUCGGAAAAUAAGCAGAUUUUUUUUUUAAAAAAAAGGUACAAUCCUGGUCUCUCCUGCAGCUACAAGAGGAUGUCUGUUGAACAUCGGUGGGAGCUUGGAAAGCGGAGCUGGAGCAGAACAUGCCCCAUGAUGCAGAGGACUCUUGUAAAUGCCUGGGUGUUAAACCCAGCCACAAACAGUAAAACAGAAAUGCAAUUAUACUGCAUGCGCAAUUAUAAAUUAUUAAAUGUUUUAACUUGCUCUGAUUUAAACAUAACAGCAUUAAGUUUUUAUGGUGCUUAUGCUAUAUCAAGGACUGGAUACUAUAAAGAGACAGGAAAAGAUUUGAGAUAGAAAGUGCAGGCUGCACUAUGUGAGAUGUUUUCAAUUUCCUUCAAAGUGGUUUCUUGUUUAAAAACAGGCUUUGGUGUGAGCUUCUGAAACCUACUAACUAUGCAAAACCUGCUAUUACCUGUGUGAUGGUAUUUCUCCAGCAUUUACAAACUCCUCAUGCGUCUAACAGUCCGUGCCCCCCCCACCCAAUAAAUAUAAUAACCAGGGUUAACUCCGUUAAUCAAAACAAAAAAGUCACUGAGAAAUUGCACUUUGGCAUUGCAGGAGACAACCUGGGAAAAGGUGUGAAGCUCACAAAGAGAUCCCAAGGAACAACCAUCACACACAAACAUCACACACACCUGUGCUAGAAGCCAGCCUGGUGUAGCAGCCACAUGGAGACAUGGUCCACCAUCACCAAAUUUAACAAAAGAAGGAACAAGGCAGGGUAGCAGAAAGUUCUGGCCAUCUGCCUCACUCCCUGCAGUAGAAAUAUGAGACUAAAAAAAAUCACGUAAUGAAGCCACUACUAGCCCCAGCAUUUCAGGCUUCACUUUAUUUAACAAGGCCUUUACCCCCAAAGAGCACGCACUCCUUAUUUAAAGACUUAUUCAUCCUUUUCCAAACAAAAUGAAGCAGCUUUCAGUGAGCCAAAACCUGUAGGGAGAUUUUCAGUCACCAGAGGCAGUAGUAGGUGCCUUGAUUCCUACUCAAGUCAGCAGAAAUCAGGCGCCUAACCCAUCCGCGCCUCCAAAAUCCCCUCAGUAAUAGCUUAAUGCAACAAAAGGGAGAAGCAAACGGGUUUUGUCUAUAGGCUGCUUCUCAAACAAAGAAUACAAAUUGCAUGUGACAGGCUGCUGCGUGAGUUUGGCUGUAUGUGUCUACGUGCAAGUGGAAGAGCGAAUGGAGAAGUAUGCCAACUUUAGAAGGGCAUAUUGCUGCCAGUCAUUUUUAAUUAAAAAAAAAAAAAAAGGCAUCCCAGAGAUCCUGUAGGCCCUGUUACACAAGACCCCAUGAUCUAAGCAACCUGCAAUUUGGAAGCAGCAUGCGCCACUGCCUGCCCACGGCCAGGGAUGCCAUGGGCCACACGGCUCAAACGUCAGGGCUGGCCUUGCCCAGCGCGGUGCACUGACAACACUCCCGUCCUACUGUCCUAAUAGCUAACACCAGUGACCCAGACCUUCCCCUUUCUCUUUAAAGGCAUUCAUCUUCAUGUCCCAAUGCAUCUGUGUGCAGCAGCAUCGCAUCUCUGCCGCUAUGGCUGUGAAACACGCACCUGCCAAGCAGGGCAAAAGCCGUGCUUUGCAGAGGCAGCAUUGCCUCAAGCAGAUCUCUUCUCCCGCUGCCCAGGCCUGGCCCUGCACUGGUUUUGGCUGGGGGAGAGUUAAUGUUCUUCAGAGUAGCUAGUAUGGGGCUAUGUUUUGGACUGGUGCUGAAAACAGUGUUGGUAAUUCAGGGAUAUUUUAGUUACUGCUGAGCAGUGCUCACACAGAGCCAAGGCCUUUGCUGCUUCUCACACCACCCCACCAGCAAGGAGGCUGGGGGUGCACAAGGAGUUGGGAGGGGACACAGCCAGCACAGCUGACCUCAAGUGACCACAGGGAUAUUCCAUACCAUAUGACGUCACACUCAGCAUAUAAGGAGCUGGAGGAAGAAGAAGGAAGGGAGGACACAUUCAGAGCGAUGGCCUUUGUCUUCCCAAGUCACCGUUAGGCGUGAUGGAGCCCUGCUUUCCUGGGGAUGGCUGAACACCUGCCUGCCCAGGGGAAGUGGGGAAUGAAUUCCUUGUCUUGCUUUGCUUGCGCAUGUGGCUUUUGCUUUAUCUAUUAAACUGUCUGUAUCUCAACCCACAAGUUUUCUCAGUUUGACUGUUCCGAUUCUCUCCCCCAUCCCACCAGGGAGGAGUGAGCCAGUGGCUGCGUGGGGCUUCGCUGUCGGCUGGGGCAAAACCACAACAGGCCCCCAGGAUUGUUUGGAGCUGCUUAGGUGGUUGCACGAGUAGGUCACCAGCCCAACGUAAAAAUACCCUUGCUUUUCUCCUGGUGCAUCAUUUUCCACCCUUAGUAGUUCCCUAGUCUAGAGAGCUGCCUGCUUACACACAGGCCCACCAUCACGAUGUGAGCGCAGGCUCAUGUUGGGUGGCACUGGUCCUAACAGGGCUCCCACAGUGCACUUUUUUUUUUUUCCUUCUCCUUCUUCCUGACAGAUUUUGCCCAGAUCAGCUCUCUGAACUGGCCUGCUAAAGAGCAGAAGAAUUGACAUUGGUGGAGAAAGGGAGGAAAGAGGGAACUGUGGGGGACGUGGGGAGAAGAGGGAGGACACAGAACAACCGAAGCCCUUCGUAGGGUCAUUGCCAUGGAAGUCGUGGUUGUCAGAAGCAGUGCUCCUCUCUGUGCCCUGAGAUGAAGUUAACCUCAGCGAGCACGGGAACAUCCCCUGGGAAGCUGCAGCCAUUGCUUCAGAUGGAAUAAGUUUGACCAAGCACCUCAAAUUCAAGGAUUUUUUUAAAGUUUUGGUUGAUCUUUCAAAAGUGGAGAAAGAGCAAAAUAUAAAGUUUAGAUCCAAAUCUUCCUGUGUAGGAUGCCUGGACUAAGGGAGGGGGGCAGGUGAGGUACAUAUUAAUUAAAAAAAUCUCACCUGGACCUUGCUAGUUUCCAAAAGGCUCUUCUGCUCAUAACUUCUGCUCAUACUACUGCAAUGGAAUCAUGAUUUCCUCCUCCCACCACUUUAUCUUCUGCAAUUCUCCCUGGGUGAUAAAUACUAAAGUUUGUAAACACACUGAGAUUUUGAUGUGGUUUUUUUAUAUCACAAAAAUAUUCAAAGCGACAGCAGUGUUUGGCAAUACUGGAGAAACCAUAGGCAGAGAGUUACAUUCUCACACUGAGCAUCUGGGGAGAAACAUCCAGCAAGGUGUCGGUGCGCUAAUGUGAAAUCGGUUCACUAAUGUGAAAUCGGUUCUUAAGAGCCACCACCUCCCUCAGUUGUUAGCAUUUAAAAGAGAUCGAGUCUCUCAGAGGGACCCAAGACAAUUAGAUGCUCCAGACUCAUUGAAUUUCAAUUAGGUUUGUGCACUUACUUCCUUCAGGUUCUUCUAAAAUCAAACCCAUCACUUACACCUAUAAUCAUACUUAAGUUUUGAAGGCCUUGCUCCUUUUCUGUGUGUGCAAGUCUUUACUGGGAAAAAUCUUUUGUGUGGAUGAUUAACUUCAAACGUGCUUAAGUAUUUCUUGAAGUAAACAAAACUUAAGCACAUUUAGAUUUAAGCAGGUGCUUGCCUGCUUUUCUGAAGAAAGAUGAACUUAAUUACAUGUCUACCUACUUUUCUAAACAGGGGCCCUUCACACAUCUAGUAUUAGUUUUUGCAUGUUUAUUCUUUUUUUUUUAAAACAAGUUGACACCACACUACAGAGUUUAUAAACUCAGUUAUUUUUAGAUCCCUAUAAUACUCUCAGACUGGGAUAUGUAAGUACAGAAUAUACUUACUUAUUUUGAAUAUAUUAAUUUUCAUCUGAGGAAAACCGUUUACACGUAUCCAGUCUGACUACAAAUGUAAGCAGUAUACGAUUAGCACUAAUUGUUGGAUAUGCCAUAUUACUGUGUAAUAUGCUGAUCUUCUAAAACCUCAAGUUGUAAUCUUUAAUAAUCUGUCCCUAAACAGCAGUCUAAACUCGGCUUCUCCACAUAGUUUGCCUUACUGUAUUUGACUUGUUAAUAAUCUUCCCAUAAGCGGCACUCACAGGGCAGUAAAAGGUAAAGAUCUAUGUUAAGAUAGACAUAUUUGGAUUCAUCUUGUUAGAAAUCAGUAAUGGUAGCUUUUAUAUUCUAAAUAAUGCUUAGAUGAAAGACAGGCACUGAAGUACUUCCUGACGAAAAGCGGGGAAGUCCUUCACAGUGCCUUAUGCAAGAUUUAAAAAAAAACCAAAACCAAACCAAAACAAACAAACAAACAAAAAAAAAAGCACAA